rnacentral:lncRNA from 13 species
AUGACCCUGGUAGUUACCCAAUUUACCAUAUGGUGUGUUGGCUCCUUGAAUUGGAAAAAUUCCACCUGCAAGCAGCAAGGGAUUUUACUUCUGGAAUCAUCUUGGGGGUGCCAGGUUUUAAUAAACAUCUUCAACCAAUCAUAUAGAAAAGUUGAAAGAAGUUUAGUGAACACUUGCAGACCUACUACGUAUAUAAAACUGCUGCAUUUGUAUUACAAUUGCUUUAUUUUUAUUUGUCCAUUCAUUUGUUAACUCAUCUUGAUUGAGUAUGUGUAUGUGUGUGUAUUUCUACGUAAAUAAAUUGUGAGCAACUAUGAUUUCUCCUAAGUGU